AAAGAAGACGAAAGCGUGCAUUUUUUUUUUUUUCAACUGGUAAACAUGAAGUUCUUUCCAGCUUUCCCCCUCCUUGUGGUGUUUCUCCUAGUUUUUUCAACUGGUACCAUCUUAGUGAAGGCGGAAGAAUGCUCCAAUGCCAUCAGUAUUGUGAAUUGCACAAAGCUGGCAUGCGUUGAAAGGUGUGUUUCCCAAUAUGGCAAAAGUAUUAAUGGCGGGUGCAUUGAUGAUGAUAACUGCUGCUGCUACGGUUCCAAUAUAUGAAACCAAAACAUACAUCAAAUUCUAGCUCAUUCGAAUAAAUGAAAAGAGUUCUAUAAU